rnacentral:rRNA from 1 species
GGGACAACAUUCCGAAAGGAGUGCUAAUACCGGAUGUGAUCAUCGUGCCGCAUGGCAGGAUGAAGAAAGAUGGCCUCUACAAGUAAGCUAUCGCUAAAGGAUGGGCCUGCGUCUGAUUAGCUAGUUGGUAGUGUAACGGACUACCAAGGCGAUGAUCAGUAGCCGGUCUGAGAGGAUGAACGGCCACAUUGGGACUGAGACACGGCCCAAACUCCUACGGGAGGCAGCAGUGGGGAAUCUUCCGCAAUGGACGAAAGUCUGACGGAGCAACGCCGCGUGAGUGAUGAAGGAUUUCGGUCUGUAAAGCUCUGUUGUUUAUGACGAACGUGCAGUGUGUGAACAAUGCAUUGCAAUGACGGUAGUAAACGAGGAAGCCACGGCUAACUACGUGCCAGCAGCCGCGGUAAUACGUAGGUGGCGAGCGUUGUCCGGAAUUAUUGGGCGUAAAGAGCAUGUAGGCGGCUUAAUAAGUCGAGCGUGAAAAUGCGGGGCUCAACCCCGUAUGGCGCUGGAAACUGUUAGGCUUGAGUGCAGGAGAGGAAAGGGGAAUUCCCAGUGUAGCGGUGAAAUGCGUAGAUAUUGGGAGGAACACCAGUGGCGAAGGCGCCUUUCUGGACUGUGUCUGACGCUGAGAUGCGAAAGCCAGGGUAGCGAACGGGAUUAGAUACCCCGGUAGUCCUGGCCGUAAACGAUGGGUACUAGGUGUAGGAGGUAUCGACCCCUUCUGUGCCGGAG